ACGGGUGAGUAAUGCCUAGGAAUCUGCCUGGUAGUGGGGGACAACGUUUCGAAAGGAACGCUAAUACCGCAGACGUCCUACGGGAGAAAGCACGGGACCUUCUGGCCUUGCGCUAUCGAAUGAGCCUAGGUCGGAUUAGCUAGUUGGUGAGGUAAUGGCUCACCAAGGCGACCAUCCGUAACUGGUCUGAGAGGAUGAUCAAUCACACUGGAACUGAGACACGGUCCAGACUCCUACAGGAGGCAGCAGUGGGGAAUAUUGGACAAUGGGCGAAAGCCUGAUCCAGCCUUGCCGCGUGUGUGAAGAGGUCUUCGUAUUGUAAAGCACUUUAAGUUGGGAGGAAGGGUUGUAGAUUAAUACUCUGCAAUUUUGACGUUACCGACAGAAUAAGCACCGGCUAACUCUGUGCCAGCAGCCGCGGUAAUACAGAGGGUGCAAGCGUUAAUCGGAAUUACUGGGCGUAAAGCGCGCGUAGGUGGUUUGUUAAGUUGGAUGUGAAAUCCCCGGGCUCAACCUGGGAACUGCAUCCAAAACUGGCAAGCUAGAGUAUGGUAGAGGGUGGUGGAAUUUCCUGUGUAGCG
rnacentral:rRNA from 1 species